rnacentral:rRNA from 1 species
CCUACGGGGGGCAGCAGUGAGGAAUAUUGGUCAAUGGACGGAAGUCUGAACCAGCCAUGCCGCGUGCAGGAAGACGGCUCUAUGAGUUUUAAACUGCUUUUGUACAAGGGUAAACCUGAAUACGUGUAUUCAGCUGAAAGUACUGUACGAAUAAGGAUCGGCUAACUCCGUGACGUCAGCCGCGGUAAUACGGGGGAUCCAAGCGUUAUCCGGAUUGAUUGGGUGUAAAGGGUGCGUAGGCGGAUUGAUAAGUUAGAUGUGAAAUGUCCGGGCUUAACUCGGGAACUGCCUCUAAUACUGUUGAUCUAGAGAGUAGAAGCGGUAGGCGGAAUGUAUGGUGUAGCGGUGAAAUGCUUAGAGAUCAUACAGAACACCGAUGGCGAAGGCAGCUUACCAAUCUAUAUCUGACGUUGAGGCACGAAAGCGUGGGGAGCAAACAGGAUUAGAUACCCCAGUAGUC